rnacentral:rRNA from 1 species
UACGAAGGGGGCUAGCGUUGCUCGGAAUCACUGGGCGUAAAGGGGUGCGUAGGCGGGUCUUUUAAGUCAGGGGUGAAAUCCUGGAGCUCAACUCCAGAACUGCCUUUGAUACUGAGGAUCUUGAGUUCGGGAGAGGUGAGUGGAACUGCGAGUGUAGAGGUGAAAUUCGUAGAUAUUCGCAAGAACACCAGUGGCGAAGGCGGCUCACUGGCCCGGUACUGACGCUGAGGUGCGAAAGCGUGGGGAGCAAACAGG